GUCCUUUUGUAGUUCAUGAACGUGAUGACUGGGUUUCCACGCACAUGUGUGAGAUGGGCCUCCCUCAAACCUUGUUGUGUCAUUGGCACAUUACCUGUCCAAUG
ensembl:snoRNA